ACUACGGGAGGCAGCAGUGAGGAAUAUUGGUCAAUGGGCGGAAGCCUGAACCAGCCAAGUAGCGUGCAGGAUGACGGCCCUACGGGUUGUAAACUGCUUUUAUACGGGAAUAACGCGCCUUACGUGUAGGGCUUUGCAUGUACCGUAUGAAUAAGGACCGGCUAAUUCCGUGCCAGCAGCCGCGGUAAUACGGAAGGUCCGGGCGUUAUCCGGAUUUAUUGGGGUUAAAGGGAGCGUAGGCCGCAUGUCAAGCGUGCUGUGAAAUGCCCGGGCUCAACCCGGGCCUUGCAGCGCGAACUGGCGUGCUUGAGUCCGCGGAAAGCAGGCUGAAUUCGUCGUGUAGCGGUGAAAUGCUUAGAUAUGACGAAGAACCCCGAUUGCGAAGGCAGCUUGCUGCAGCGGAACUGACGCUGAUGCUCGAAAGCGCGGGUAUCGAACAGGAUUAGAUACCCCAGUAGUC
rnacentral:rRNA from 1 species